AAAAACUUAGUUAAAAAUAUAACAUUAGUUUGUCAGACUAAAAUUAUUGAAAAAUAGUUUUUU
rnacentral:tRNA from 1 species